rnacentral:rRNA from 1 species
AGGCUGCAACUCGCCUGCAUGAAGUCGGAAUUACUAGUAAUCGCAGAUCAGCAUGCUGCGGUGAAUACGUUCCCGGGCCUUGUACACACCGCCCGUCACACCAUGGGAGUCGGUAACACCCGAAGUCGGUAGCCUAACCGUAAGGAGGGCGCCGCCGAAGGUGGGAUUGAUGACUGGGGGUGAAGUCGUAACAAGGUAAC